GGCUCAGUGGUCUAGGGGUAUGAUUCACGCUUUGGGUGCGAGAGGUCCCGGGUUCGAAUCCCGGCUGAGCCC
rnacentral:tRNA from 1 species